rnacentral:rRNA from 1 species
UUACGGGAGGCAGCAGUGGGGAAUUUUGGACAAUGGGGGCAACCCUGAUCCAGCAAUGCCGCGUGUGUGAAGAAGGCCUUCGGGUUGUAAAGCACUUUUGGCGGGAACGAAACGGCGUGGGUUAAUACCUCGCGCUAAUGACGGUACCCGCAGAAUAAGCACCGGCUAACUACGUGCCAGCAGCCGCGGUAAUACGUAGGGUGCAAGCGUUAAUCGGAAUUACUGGGCGUAAAGCGUGCGCAGGCGGUUGUAUAAGACAGAUGUGAAAUCCCCGGGCUCAACCUGGGAACUGCAUUUGUGACUGUACGGCUAGAGUGUGUCAGAGGGGGGUAGAAUUCCACGUGUAGCAGUGAAAUGCGUAGAGAUGUGGAGGAAUACCGAUGGCGAAGGCAGCCCCCUGGGAUAACACUGACGCUCAUGCACGAAAGCGUGGGGAGCAAACAGGAUUAGAUACCCUGGUAGG